rnacentral:rRNA from 1 species
UACAGAGGUGGCAAGCGUUGUUCGGAAUUACUGGGCGUAAAGGGCGCGUAGGCGGCUCGGUCAGCGUGCGGUGAAAGCCCGGGGCUCAACCCCGGGUCGGCCGUGCGAACUGCCGAGCUGGAGCACUGUAGAGGCAGGUGGAAUUCCGGGUGUAGCGGUGGAAUGCGUAGAGAUCGGGAGGAACACCCGUGGCGAAGGCGGCUCACUGGGCUGACCUUGACGCUGAGGCGCGAAGGCGUGGGGAGCGAACGGG